ensembl:lincRNA
AACAAGGUUGCAGCCUUAGCCCCCAGACCCAGUGCUGUCAUCCCGUCCGUCCCGCAGGUCUCCCAUGGAGGAACAAAGGCCCCGGAAGCGGCCUCGCACAGUGGCUCCUGAUCCAGCCUCAGAGGGGGACCCCCGGGAGUCAGACCAUCCUAAUGUGGAAUUUGAAGACCUCGGUGAAGCAGAUGGUCCGGCAGAGUCAGGCCAACCCAAGAAACCCAUCGCUUAUGUGAACCCCAUGAGGUUUGAGGUCCCUGUCCGCACAGAGCCAGCUGGACCUACACAAAGAGGCCGCAUCCAGAGAAGACCCCAGCAAGCAGAGAGAGCUCACACUCAGGGACAGGGUCGGAGAGCAGGAAGGCACAGACACUGGGAGACAGACUCCCGGGAGCAGCUAGAACGCUCUCAGGAACCUGUGCACGGACAGUUGGUUGGCCAGGAAGAGCCAGGCCAUCGCGUGGACCCGGAAGCCAGCUGGACCUCAGCCUUCUCCUUCAUCACAGCGUCUACAGUCCGUGAAGAUGAGUUGUUGGGCCGUAGCUCCCACUCAAACCAGCUGGCGGGGGCAAUCCGGGAGCCGCCCCCUGUCUCGGGUUACUGGGCUGUCACAGGGAGGCAGAUUUCAGCCAUCUAUCCCUACAUAGGCUUCAUCCCGCUCUUCGGCUCCUCCUUGUACUUCGUGGAGACCCCAUUCGGCACCCACGUGUUUGGAGUCCCCGUGUUCUUCACCAACAUCGCGCACUGACCUGUCGGCGGCUUCAGCUUCCUUCUCUCCUGCUUGGGACUGUGUGCAGUACGGCUCCCUCCUCACCUGGAACCCAGGGAGAGAAUCCCAUUUCUGCCCCACACUCCCCUGCCUGUACCAAGCAGUGCCUUCCUGGUGUGGCUCCAAAUCCUCCAGCACCAGCCAUCUGCUCCCAAAGCCCCUCCUGGCCAUAUUUUAUCUACACACACAUAUAUUUAGUUCCCCAGUCCUUGUUAAAGUAAAUCAGUAGUCUCUCCUUGUCCUCCCUGCAGCCAUGUUUUUUCCUUCCCAAGAUGUACAACGACCAAAUAUUUUUUUGAAAAGAGGGCACCAGGAUAGGGGAGAGCAAAAAAGGGGGAAAAGUGACACUUAAGGAAAUAAACCUAAUAGAAUAUUCAGGAAAGUGGACUUUUAUAAGAAUAUAAUGAAUAUCCUCAGAGAAGAAUGGAAUGAUGUUUUAUCCGUGAGAUGAUAGCAUGCACCUACAUAAAAAAGCCAAUUACAGAGACUAGGGAUGAGAAACAAGGUGGUUAGAACACAACAUUAUGUGGAUGGUUUGAGUCAUACAAUGGAUGGGGUUGAGGAACUAAUCAGUAACUAGAUGUUUGGGCAGAGGGAGGCCCUGGAAUGUAAAAGAUGUGACGGAUGAGUUCUGCUGCAAGCAGCAUGAACACAGGAGAAACUGAACAUUUGGAUGAGAGCGACAUACAAAGAAAUGGCCACUGAUUGCGCCAAAGUCAUAUGUCCAUGAGCAAGAUAUGAGAAUAGCACGAAUUUGGAAGUAUGAAAUGAAACAUUUGCAGAGGCAGCCUGAGAGAUGAGCCCUGCAAGCAAAGCUCAGAUUCUCACUGGACUUCGAUGAGCAGCGUCGGGGAGUUUGAAAAGCCGCAGGGCAACAUCCUCAGAGCUUUGAGGGGAACUGACUCUAAAUGGAGGAUUCCAGUGCUCAUGGGAGACAUCUUUGGGUGGCAAGGGAGGCAGGAAGUGUCUGCCGGAGAUGGAGGCCACAGGAAGGGAGGAAGGGCUUAGAAAGGAAAAGGGAAAACCUUGAAUCCAAAGCAUGAAUUUUCCCUGAACUUGCAGCACACA